rnacentral:piRNA from 1 species
UAGAAUAUAGGGAUUUAGAAAAC